rnacentral:lncRNA from 1 species
GUUCACCGCUCCUCUACCUGCUUUCUCCUACUUCCACGGGAGAGGAAAUCCAAGUGCCCCUCCCACUACCUGCCAAGAGUGCGACUGUGGGCAAGGCGCUUCCUAUCUUCCCACCGGGUUCCCCAGGUGGAAAACGAAGUAGUGGCACCCCACACUGACCGCUCAGGUGCAGAGGUGCAGGCGACAGUGCGGUCAACUCGCAAGGAACUGAGGAAGAGCCCCUCAGAGUGCACCGCGCCGUCUCGGGACGGGGGCGGCGGUGGGGGGAUCGCUGAAGCCCCUCUCCUCCGAAGCCGCCUCUGCCCCGGCCGUUUCCAGCUCCUCUCGGAGAGGAAGUCUUGGGGCGGGGGAGGGGGCGCACUGGACGCCAAUGCUCAGAGGACAGAGCACGGAGCGCAGCAGGGACCCCGGCCCGGUGAGCGGGCGGACACAGUGGGUGCGCCGGUAAAAGCCCGGCGGCCCGGGUCUCAGAGAAGGACGCGGACACGCCGAGGGGCGCCGGCUCACAGCCACCAGAGGAGGCCCGGAGGGCGGCCCCAGCCUCUUCCCUGCCCGACUCCCGCCGGCUCUGCUGGGCACCCGCCUCCGGCUCAGUCAGGCCCCCGCCCGGGACCCUGGCGGCUCACCUCACCGCCUCAGUCAGCUUGCAGCCGUCACCGCCGCGGCUCAGAUCUCCCUCUUUUACACCCGAGCCCGCGUAUCGCGAGACGUGCGCUUCCGCUCUCGCGAGAUCUGGGCGAGACUGCCUGUAAAGCUCCGGGUCGGCGGAUGCCGGGGGUCAGCGUCCGUCCCACGCCCGGGAUGCUGCGGCUCGGAGCACGCUCAGAACCAAGGCCGGCCCGCGGUUCUUCCUUGGUGCCCCUGUCCGCCGCUGGCCAGGCUUCCACCGGACGGCUGUCUUGCACUGUCUUGUGUGGAAUAGCACCGCCCAACGGUGGCCUCCUGGGGCCAAACUUUCUUGCACUCCUGACUAGUCCGCAGCUUUUGACACUACGGUGUUUGCUUGAAUUAAUUAAUGCGUUUUUACUUUUCUCUAAGAAAAGAAAAACAGGAAAUACUAUGCUACUAAGCUGUCCUCCAAGAGCCCUGGGAGCUGUUGGGGUGCGGAGCCGCCGUUUGGGUCCCGUUCUCCAGGGAGCAAGGGCGGGGCGCAGUCAGCACACAGCCAGCAGGUCCUUUCUGGAAUCCCUCCAGCCUGCGUCUACUAAGGGGUCUCUCAAGUCCCUUCUUCCUCCUCCGCAACCCCAGCGAAGCGCCCGAGGGUCUGCACCGCAUUUCCAGAGAGUAAACCAUGAAUCUGUGUAG